rnacentral:rRNA from 1 species
UACGGGGGGAGCAAGCGUUGUUCGGAUUUACUGGGCGUAAAGGGCGCGUAGGCGGCCUCCGCAAGUCAAUUGUGAAAUCUCCGGGCUUAACUCGGAAAGGUCAGCCGAUACUGCGGGGCUAGAGUGCAGAAGGGGCAACUGGAAUUCUCGGUGUAGCGGUGAAAUGCGUAGAUAUCGAGAGGAACACCUGCGGCGAAGGCGGGUUGCUGGGCUGACACUGACGCUGAUGCGCGAAAGCUAGGGGAGCGAACGGG